rnacentral:rRNA from 1 species
UCCGUUGGUGAACCAGCGGMGGGAUCAUUACCGAGUUUACAACUCCCAAACCCCUGUGAACAUACCUUAUGUUGCCUCGGCGGAUCAGCCCGCGCCCCGUAAAAAGGGACGGCCCGCCGCAGGAACCCUAAACUCUGUUUUUAGUGGAACUUCUGAGUAUAAAAAACAAAUAAAUCAAAACUUUCAACAACGGAUCUCUUGGUUCUGGCAUCGAUGAAGAACGCAGCAAAAUGCGAUAAGUAAUGUGAAUUGCAGAAUUCAGUGAAUCAUCGAAUCUUUGAACGCACAUUGCGCCCGCCAGUAUUCUGGCGGGCAUGCCUGUUCGAGCGUCAUUUCAACCCUCAAGCCCAGCUUGGUGUUGGGAGCUGCAGUCCUGCUGCACUCCCCAAAUACAUUGGCGGUCACGUCGAGCUUCCAUAGCGUAGUAAUUUACACAUCGUUACUGGUAAUCGUCGCGGCCACGCCGUUAAACCCCAACUUCUGAAUGUUGACCUCGGAUCAGGUAGGAAUACCCGCUGAACUUAAGCAUAUCAAUAA